ACCUGUACGGUCAUCAGUUUCUCCGAUUUCUGAUAGCGGCGCUGACUCACUGGACUGUAUAUGGUGGCUUCGAAUGCCGAAUAAAGAGAGGCGAACGCGUAUGAGUAAUGUUUUAGUAAGUAAUUGUUCGUGAACGAAUUCUGGUUGACGUGGCGCGAGGCCGUGUAUGUGUGACAUGGUGUGUUGGACCCAUCGCUGGGUGUGCUACGAGUGACGCGAUAAGGAAAACAAACAGGCCCGACGGGCUCUACGCAAAUAUUUGUAGGCAUCGGCGUCGAGUGCACCAGACACCCUCCCCCACACCCUCCACCGGCUCGACCUACUCUCUGCGCGGCUGGAUGUGUCGCACCCCAGCCUCGGCGUGCUAUUAAGCCAUAUCUACGGUAGCUGAGAUAUCGCGAUACCAUCCCCGAUAUGGAGUAAUUAUCAGAUAGAAGGCCCACAGAUUUGAUUACGAGAGUGCGUAUCUUCGCCAUUGACUCAUUACCAGCGACACUCCGCUUGGAGAUAGACCAUCACCAGAGAGCAGACGACGCUUCUCUCUCUCGGAUUUCGAUUUCUGUGCAUGUGCAGUGUCUGUAGUGUCGGUGAUGUGCGUGGUGUCCGUGGUGUCAGUGGUGUCAGUGGUGUCGGAGAGUGGCGGUAGGCAGGCAGGUCGCAUGUGAUCCGAUAAGUAGGUCCUAGAGUGAGGCGGCGCCGAUCGUAAUCCCCUCGCGAUCUGAUAACUUCGACACGUCCACGGAUUAUUGAUGGACGACGUUCGACCUCGUCAUCGUCUUAUCACUUGUUUUUUUCGUCGAAUAUGUUCCGUAAAAAGCUAAUAAAGUGCGAGAGGUGAGGUGCGAGGGGAUCGGUCCCCGCGGCUCCGGGUUGCGGGCUGCGGGGUGCGGGGGUGGACACGUGACGCGAUGAGCUCGAUAAGACGCCAUAUUGUUUCAGCAGUACGUUCAAAACACCUUCCCCCCCUUCUGCCGACUACCCCUCAGCCUUUUCAAAGCUGAAUCACGAAUAGCGGUCGUGUUCAAUUACUCAUAAAUAGCAGCUUAGUACCUACGGCAAAUUUAUUAACAGAUUGACACCAGUCAUUGUAAAAGAUCGCUGCGUUAACAACCUGCCAGGAGAGACGAAAAGACGAAGAGCGCGGCCUCCCCUUGUGUUCAACACAUGAACGGGGUUAUUGUUGGAAAGUGAACUGUAGUCGUAUAUGAAAUUCGAUGAGCUCAUACAGGAGCCGAGACACUCGACGCGCUCAUUGUGAUGUUAUCAUUAUUAAAAAUAUUUAAAUCU